rnacentral:rRNA from 1 species
UACGAAGGGGGCUAGCGUUGCUCGGAAUUACUGGGCGUAAAGGGCGCGUAGGCGGUUCGUUAAGUUGGGGGUGAAAGCCCAGGGCUCAACCCUGGAAUUGCCUUCAAUACUGGCGACCUUGAGUAUGGCAGAGGUGUGUGGAACUCCGAGUGUAGAGGUGAAAUUCGUAGAUAUUCGGAAGAACACCAGUGGCGAAGGCGACACACUGGGCCAUUACUGACGCUGAGGCGCGAAAGCGUGGGGAGCAAACAGG